UCAUUAAGAAGCUAUGAACCAGCAUUAGCCUUUUAAGCUAAAGAAAGAGGGAAUCUCCCCUCCUUAAUGGU
rnacentral:tRNA from 3 species